ensembl:lncRNA
UUUCAGGAUAGAUAUUUGCAAACAGUGGUGUUUAGUUCAGUGUUUCUGCUAUUCAGUCUCAGAUGAUGGCAUCACUUGAGAUGGAAGCGGAGACUGUGAGUCAGGAGCAAAGUUUCCACAGGAUAAGGAAGGUCAACUUGAGAUUAGGCGUGAGGGAGCACAGACGGCUGGACAGUGGGCUUCCAAGGAGCAGUGACUAAGUGCUUAGUUAUGUAUGGAUAUGAGAGUUGGACUAUAAAGAAAGCUGAGCACUGAAGAAUUGAUGUUUUUGAACUGUGGUGUUGGAGAAGACUCUUGAGAGUCCCUUGGACUGCAAGGAGAUCCAACCAGUCCAUCCUAAAGGAGAUCAGUCCUGGAUGUUCAUUGGAAGGACUGAUGCUGAAGCUGAAGCUCCAAUACUUUGGCCACCUGAUGCGAAGAACUGACUCAAUGAUUCUGGGAAAGAUUGAAGGCGGGAGGAGAAGGGGGCAACAGAGGAUGAAAUGGUUAGAUGGCGUCACCGACUCGAUGGACAUGAGUUUGAGCAAGCUCCAGGAGUUGGUGAUGGACAGGGAGGCCUGGCGUGCUGCAGUCCAUGGGGUCGCAAAGAGUCGGACACAACCGAACGACUGAACUGAAUGUGAAUAUAGGGCAAUGCAGAAAGCCUUUCCAAAGAGCGGCCUUAAUAGUUUUGAAUUCUACACGUAAUACUAAUGAAGACCUAUGGCUUUAUCUAACUGUGGACAAAAUAGUGUUUUGUACAGAAAUGAGAGUGGAUUCAAGGCGGAAACAGUGGCAGAGAUUAACAGGCUCUGUGGAGCAGUCUAACAUUAUUUCUCAGUAAUCAGUGCAUAACUUAUCUUGUUUAAUACUUGUCACAAAUUAUUGAUGUAUUGUAGUAAAUACAGAGUAAAAUAUCAAAUAU